GACGAACGCUGGCGGCGUGCUUAACACAUGCCAGUCGAACGGAAAGGCCCCUUUGGGGGUACUCGAGCGGCGAACGGGUGAGUAACACGUGAGUAACCUGCCCUUGACUUCGGGAUAACUUCAGGAAACUGGGGCUAAUACCGGAUAGGAAUCCUUGCUGCAUGGUGGGGGUUGGAAAGCUUCGGCGGUUUUGGAUGGACUCGCGGCUUAUCAGCUUGUUGGUGGGGUAGUGGCUUACCAAGGCUUUGACGGGUAGCCGGCCUGAGAGGGCGACCGGCCACAUUGGGACUGAGAUACGGCCCAGACUCCUACGGGAGGCAGCAGUGGGGAAUAUUGCACAAUGGGCGGAAGCCUGAUGCAGCAACGCCGCGUGCGGGAUGACGGCCUUCGGGUUGUAAACCGCUUUCAGCAGGGGCGAAGCUUGUGGUGACGGUACCUGCAGAAGAAGCACCGGCUAACUACGUG
rnacentral:rRNA from 1 species